CUCUAGCCAGCCUCCAGCUAGGAGCUCCAGACCUGAAACCACCACCACAGCUCCGCAUCCAGACCCGACAGCUGAGUCUGAACAAACACACACAGGCAGAAGGGCUGACAUUAUCCUCCUCAUGGACUCUAAUGGAAAGUUCCUGGAUGAAAAGAACUGGUGCCCCAACACCAGGAGAGCCCUGGAGCUGUUAGCAGUGCCUGAGCUAGGCUCACCUAGCCACAUCAUCAUCCAUACAGGCACCAACGACUUCAGGUCCCAGCAGGACAGACUCUCCUCAGAGAGUCUGUCCAUUGAGCAAGCCUCCACCAAUUUCCCUACCAGCAAGAUAGUCAUAUCCAUGCUGCUGCACAGGAGAGACUUCCACCCCCACACUAUUCACAGAGUGAAUAUCAGACUCUCCAGGGACUGUGCCCUCAAACCCAACGUAUUCUUGGCCCACCAACCGACCCUGCACCUGGACUGCCUGUAUGAUAACAUACACCUACACAAGCUGUGUCUCAAUUCAGGGACCGCAUCCUUCGAAGGCUGCAUUUGAAGACCGAAUACGUCACAGUCGAUGCGACUAGGCUGUCCCAUUUCGAAGGCUCCUUCAAAUGUGGCCGACAAAUGCAGCCUUCUUUUCGUCCGUUUGGAGGAUCCAACAGUUGGAUCCUUCGCAGCCCCAGGUAUCCCGACAUUCAUUGCGCGCCGGUUGAUUGUCCCAGCGUAAAUAAUGGCGUUGGCUGUGGCUGUGGAGUUCAGCCCCCCGAAUUUUACCUAUAAAUGGAGCAAGGAGCAAACUGCCCUCUUUAUUAAAUUGAGGGGGGAAAGCGACCACCUCUUCAACGGGGCAAAGUUUUCUGCCAACGUGGCUUGAAGGACAAUUUUGGAGAAAAUGGGCCUGUGGGGGAAGGUGACUUCCCUCCAAGCGAAAAAAAAGUGGGACAAUUUAAAAAAAAAAUACAAAGAGUGCAAGUGUCCAGGGUCAAGAGAGGGUGUAGGGGGGAAGCCCACUGCUGCAACUUGGCCCUGGUUUGUCCUCAUGGAUGAGGUGUUGGGACAGAGACAUUCCACCACCCCACCUGUCGUAACUGCCUCUAUCCCUGAGGACACACCAGGGCCAAGUGCUGCAGUGGGUGACCAGGAGGAGGAAGAGGAGGAGGAGGACAGCCAGCCGAGAAAGAGAAAGAGGGACAGAGAGGAUGAGCUGCUUGAGCUUCUUAAGGAAGACAUGAGGUUGCAGAGAGAGGCAGAGGAGAGGAGAGCACAGGAGAGCAGAGAGAGGAUGGACAGGCUGUUCUCUCUACUAGAAAGACUGGCCGAAAAAUAAAUAAAUCC